rnacentral:misc_RNA from 1 species
AUGGGAACAUGUGUAAUCACA